UGGAACAUGGCAACAUUAAUCUGACCACAAGCUGACUGGCAGGUGCUUUAACCACAAGCUCUGACUCCAGGCCCUGUCCCCUGAGCUCUGCCCUCGGAUGUCCGACCGCCCAGAGCCUGCAUGCGCCGUGGGGCGCCCCAGGACCAGGAGCUGUAUUCAGGGCGGACCAGCGGAGCGGACCCCGACAGCUGCUGACCCUCUAUAACCCCACAGGAACUGCGCUUCGCUUCCGAGUCCUGUGCACAGCACCUGCCAAAUACACGGUGUUUGACGCAGAGGGAUAUGUGAAGCCCCAGUCUUGCAUUGACAUUGUGAUUCGCCAUGUGGCACCCAUUCCCAGCCACUAUGAUGUCCAGGACCGCUUCCGCAUUGAGCUGUCUGAGGAAGGAGCUGAGGGCCGAGUGGUGGGACGCAAGGACAUUACCUCCAUUCUGAGAGCCCCAGCGUACCCCCUUGAGCUUCAGGGACAGCCAGAUCCAGCGCCUCGCCCAGGGCCUCCUGCUGGGACACCACCACCCACGGCCAGACACUUCCAGGAGCACCCCCGCCAGCAACUGGCCACCAGCUCCUUCCUCCUCUUCUUGCUGACGGGGAUUGUGUCUGUGGCCUUCCUGCUGCUCCCACUCCCGGACGAACUCGGCAGCCAGCUGCCUCAAGUCCUGCACGUCUCCCUGGGACAAAAGUUGGUGGCCGCCUACGUCUUGGGCCUCCUCACCAUGGUGUUCCUCCGGACCUGAGCUCCGUGCUCAACCCCCAGCCCACCCCACCCUCCCUGGGCAGGGUCUUGAGGCAGCCACUGUGAUGCUCAUACCUUACCUUGCCUCCUACCCUCUUCUCUUUCCUGCCUACUCCCCACUCCUCCCUGACAAAAAACACCCAG
rnacentral:lncRNA from 1 species